UUCACUCUGGAGAGUUCCGAAAAGGACGCCGAAGGUGUAAGCGCUGCGCUGCAGUGUGAUCUCUCAGGCAAAAGGACAGAGGU
rnacentral:ncRNA from 1 species